AUGUUCUCCGUAGCUCUGCUGCUGCUGCUGGCUGCUGGAUGCUGUGUUGAUGGUCAGACUCUGAAAGAGUCUGAACCGGUGGUUAAAACACCUGGAGACUCACACAGACUGACGUGUACAGCCUCUGGAUUCACUCUCAGCAGCUACUACAUGGCCUGGGUCCGACAGGCUCCUGGAAAAGGACUGGAGUGGAUUGCAUAUAUAGGCACCGCCAGUUCUCCAAUAUCUUACUCCCAGUCGGUGAAGGGUCGAUUCACCAUCUCCAGAGAUGACUCCAGCAGUAAAAUCUAUCUCCAGAUGAACAGUCUGAGGACUGAAGACACAGCAGUGUAUUACUGCGCCAGACGGACACACGGUGCUGCUUUUGACUACUGGGGAAAAGGUACAAUGGUGACUGUUUCAUCAGCAACUUCCACAAAACCAACGGUCUUUCCUCUGAUGCCGUGCGGCUCUGGAGGAGGAGAAAAAGUCACCCUGGGCUGUCUUGCCACCGAUUUCACGCCGUCCUCAGUGACCUUCUCAUGGAACCAGGCCGGCACGUCUUUGACAGACUUCAUCCAGUACCCUUCGGUACAGAAAAAUAACGCUUAUAUUGGAAUAAGUCAAGUCCAAGUGAGCAGACAGGACUGGGACGCAAGAAGACCUUUCCAAUGUGUUGCAACUCAUGCUGCAGGGAACGUCCAAGGGACUGUUGAAAAGCCAAAGCUGCGGGUCGUGGCUCCAAACAUCACCUUGUAUCCCGUCUGGGAAGGUGAAUUCGGGGUCUCGCAGGUCAGGCUCAUCUGCACCCUAAGCGGCUACUUUCCUAAAGAACUGAGUGUGGAGUGGCAACAGAACGACCGGCGUCUGUCACACAUUAAACCCAAGGAAAGGAAUCUGGAGAGUUGUGUGGAGGGAGAAGAGAAAACCUACAGUCUGACCACCGAAAUGGAGCCGGACAUGUCAGAGUGGGCUAAAGGCUCAAACUUUACCUGCAAGUCCAUUCACAAAGACACUGAAUAUACAAAGACAACAAGCAUUUGUCAGAUCCAUGGAAGUGGCCGUCCUUCCAUCCAUGUGGAGAUUCCCAGCUUCAAGACAGUCAUGACAAAUACUGAUGUGAAUGCUAAAUGUUCCAUCAGCAGUGUGUUUGAUGCCGACCUGAGCUGGCUGAUGGAUGCGAAACCUCCAUCCAACCAUCAAGUGAAGCGAGUCACAAACACAUCCGUUUUAAUCAGUGAACUGAAGGUCCCGUCGACGACCUGGAAAAACCUGAAGCUGCUAACUUGUAAAGCUCAACAUCCCUGCUUCACUGUUGAAAAGACGGUAAAGGUUUUAGGUCCUGCAGGUCCAGCUCCACUGGUGGAGAUCAGGAGAUCUCUCCCAGACCUGCUGAAGGGAGACGUUGCUGUGCUCCAGUGUGACAUCACACCGCUCUCCUCACACGACCUCUACGUCACAUUUCAGGCCAAAGGAGCGGAUUUUCCUGACAAGCAUUAUGUUGAUCUCCCUGAAGCCUCGGACCUCCAUUCAGUCAGUAGAAGGUUCUCUGUUCCUCCACAAAACUGGACCAGGGACACGAGUUUCACCUGCAAAGUCAACCAAGGUUUCUCCAGCAAACCUUUUGAGUCUAACUCCAUCAACAAUAUUUUUGUGGAACCAUCAGUGGAACUUCUUCUGGCUCCUAGUGAAGAGUCACAACAGAAACUCUUGUGUUCAGGAUGGGGCUUCAAUCCUCAAAUUAAAUGGUUUACUGAGUUAAAGUCGAUAUCUUCAUCUACUAACAAGACCUCCAUGGAUACAAAUGGACGUGUGACUGUUACCAGUGAAGUGAAGGUUCCUCAGAAAGAGUGGGAAACAGGGAAGGACUUCACAUGUGAGGUGUCUGACAGUUCUCUGAAUAAACAGGUCAGAAGGAACAUCAGCUUCUGCUCAGUGACUCCAGCAUGGUCUCAGGUGGUUGGUGUUUAUGUUCAGGCUCCACCACUGGAGCAGCUUCACAACAAGGGACCGGUGAACGUUACCUGUCUUCUGGUUGGUCCUCGUCUCAGUCAUUUCUCUGUCACCUGGAAAGUCGGUGGUGACAAAUAUUCAUCCCCCAAUGUCCAUACGGAGCAACCUGUGUCUCACAGAAAUGGGACAGAGACUUUGCGCAGCUUCCUCCAAGUCUCAGCGAAGGAUUGGCUCGCGGAUAAACCAGUGUCUUGUGAGGGGAAACACCGAUGUUCCAACCAGGGCUACGAGGAGCACAUCAGCAAAAGUGCAGACCUGUCUCCUCCAACCGUGAGGAUUGUGCAACCAACUGUUGCUGAACUGUCUACGUCUGACACCCUCAUGCUGGCUUGCUUAGUUUCUGGAUUUUUCCCCUCCAACAUCAUCGUAGAUUGGGAGGAAAAUGCUCACAGACUCACAUCCUCUCGUUACAUGAACAGCGAUCCACGGAAAGACCCAGGGAGAAGAUCUUACUCAAUGAGCAGCAGACUAAACGUAUCCCAAACUGAGGACAAAAACUCAACUUAUACUUGUGUUGUCAGACAUGAAUCAUCUGACACACCACUUAAAACCAGUAUAAAUCCUGUGUUUGCCUCAGUGAUCCACAGCAAACCUUCAGCCAUCUUGCUUCGGGGUUCUGAUGAACUUGUGUGUCUGGUCUCUGGCUUCAGCCCUGCAUCCAUUAAUAUCCCCUGGUUUCGUGAUGAAACCACACAGCUGUGGAGCUACAACGUUAGCGAGCCCCACAGAGGCCCGGAUGGAAAGUUCAGCAUCCAAAGCCGCCUUCAUCUGUCCCAGGUUGACUCACUACCCAGGGUGCUCCUCACCUGCAGGGUGACACAUGGAAACACCACCCUGUCCCUCCACUUUUCUAAUCCAGACACGCUGGAGCAUUGUAAUUUCUUUGAUGACAUCAUGCAUGUAGAUGUGAGCCAAGACACAGUGAUGCACAUUUGGUACAUGGCUUUUACUUUCCUCCUCUUGUUCUUCACCACCAUCAUCUUUUCUGUCGUCAUCAUGGUCAUAAAGACCAAAUGAUGAUGAUCACAGGACAGAUCCACUCUACCUGGACAUCUUAGGAUUUCUUACUGCAGAUGGACUGAUUUAUUUCAAAGCGUUCCUAAAUAAUUCUGCUCCUUUUUUUUAUUUCUGAUAUUGCAUUGACCUGUUUAUACUGUAUACAUGUAUGUCCACG